CAUUAAGAAGCUAACCACCAAGCGUUAACCUUUUAAGUUAAAGAUUGGGAGUGCCAACCUCCCCUUAAUGA
rnacentral:tRNA from 1 species